rnacentral:rRNA from 1 species
AGUGAACGCUGGCGGUAGGCCUAACACAUGCAAGUCGAACGGCAGCACAGAGGAGCUUGCUCCUUGGGUGGCGAGUGGCGGACGGGUGAGGAAUACAUCGGAAUCUACUCUGUCGUGAGGGAUAACGUAGGGAAACUUACGCUAAUACCGCAUACGACCUACGGGUGAAAGCAGGGGACCUUCGGGCCUUGCGCGAUUGAAUGAGCCGAAGUCGGAUUAGCUAGUUGGCGGGGUAAAGGCCCACCAAGGCGACGAUCCGUAGCUGGUCUGAGAGGAUGAUCAGCCACACUGGAACUGAGACGCGGUCCAGACUCCUACGGGAGGCAGCAGUGGGGAAUAUUGGACAAUGGGCGCAAGCCUGAUCCAGCCAUACCGCGUGGGUGAAGAAGGCCUUCGGGUUGUAAAGCCCUUUUGUUGGGAAAGAAAUCCAGCUGGCUAAUACCCGGUUGGGAUGACGGUACCCAAAGAAUAAGCACCGGCUAACUUCGUGCCAGCCGCCGCGGUAA